rnacentral:sRNA from 1 species
GUGACUCUCCUACGGAUCCCUUCUGAGGCUGUUGGUGUCCUUGUUUUGGGUGGGUGUCACAGGUGCCCGGCCUGUGCCCUGAUGAUUUCCUGAGACCACCCCUUGCAGCAGGAUGAUUAUUUCAGAAACUGGAAUCCCAACAAGCCCUUUGACCAAGCCCUGGACCCAUCCAAGGACCCCUGCCUGAAGGUAAAAUGCAGCCCUCACAAAGUGUGUGUGACCCAGGACUACCAGACCGCCCUGUGUGUCAGCCGCAAGCACCUGCUCCCCAGGCAAAAGAAAGGGAACGUGGCCCACAAACACUGGGUUGGACCUUCGAAUUUGGUCAAGUGCAAGCCCUGUCCCGUGGCGCAGUCAGCCAUGGUCUGUGGCUCAGAUGGUCACUCCUACACAUCCAAG